rnacentral:rRNA from 1 species
AGCGGCGAACGGGUGAGUAACACGUGGGCAACCGUGCCCUUCAGUCGGGAAUAACCCAUCGAAAGGUGGGCUAAUACCGGAUAAUGUCCUUUGGGGGCAUCUUCGGAGGACCAAAGGGGGCGAGCGAAAGCGGCUCCCGCUGAGGGAUGGGCCUGCGGCUGAUUAGCUAGUUGGUGGGGUAGCGGCCUACCAAGGCAACGAUCAGUAGCCGACCUGAGAGGGUGACCGGCCACACUGGGACUGAGACACGGCCCAGACUCCUACGGGAGGCAGCAGUGGGGAAUAUUGCGCAAUGGGCGAAAGCCUGACGCAGCGACGCCGCGUGGGUGAUGAAGGCCUUCGGGUCGUAAAACCCUGUCGGGUGGAACGAAUCUCCUCCUCUCUAAUACAGG